ACAAUGGAGAGUUUGAUCCUGGCUCAGGAUGAACGCUAGCGGCAGGCCUAAUACAUGCAAGUCGAACGGUAACAUUUCCCUCGGGAAGAUGACGAGUGGCG
rnacentral:rRNA from 1 species